GAAAAGCGCUGGCCGACUAAAUUCGCCACGUCCUGUGGCAACGUCGGCACUAGUACGUCCUGUACG
rfam:Sporosarcina psychrophila strain DSM 6497, complete genome.